UGUCUUCCCUGACAAAUUGAGGCUGUUCUGAGGGCAAAAGUGGGUGCCACUACAUUAUUAGGAAGGUGUUCCUUGUUUUGUACACUCGGUGUGUUAGUCUCCAGCAUUAUAAAGUUAUGUGAAAAAUACAUCAACUCACAGUGCAGUAAAACCGGGGUUUAAGUUGUUAGAAUGUCAGCUUCUAUUGCAGUGACCCACCUUCCUGGACAGGUGAGGUUAAAUGGGUAUAAUGGUUUAAAGUGAGUCCAGGGGUUAAAUACCAGGCGUUAAAAUGUCAGCGGGAGUACGAGUUGAUAAAAUCACAAAAUGAUCGAGGUAUACUACAGUGUGUAGUAUAGUAUUCUACAACAGUGUGUAGUAUAGUGAUCUACAGUUUACUACAUAAUUAUAUAGUAAAUACUGCAUCAUUCUAUUGUAAACUGUAGCAUUUUUUUAUGUGUGUUUGUGAAUACCUUGAGUGUGUGUUUGUGAAUACCUUGAGUGUGUGUUUGUGGGCGUUAGUGACUUAGUACUAUGUGACGCUCUACACACCGCUUUACGUAAUGAGGGAAUUUUGCCUCUCCUCCAUCUCCUCCUCUAAUUUCUUCCUUCCUCCCUCCCUUCCUCUUCUUUCUCAUUGUUGCUCUCAUCCUCUUCUUCCUUCUCCUCCUCUUCUCUCUCAUUCCUGUCUCUCCGAAGUCAAGCCGUGAGUUUUUGUCAGAAAGGAACAAGUGAUCUAGCUCACUCCUUUCCUCUUUCUCUCUCUCUCCCUCCCCUUCCAUAUCUCUCACUCUCUCUCCCCCCUCUCUCUCUCUCUCCCUCCCUGUGCUCAACAUUCCUCUUUCUCCUGUUCGAUCACUCCUCUCUCUCUCUCUCUCUCUCUCUCUCUCUCUCUCUCUCCCUUUCUCUGGUUCACACCCUCCUCUCCUCUCCCGAUCAGUCUCUAUGUGAAGGGAGUUCCGUAUGGUUACAGACUCGUAUGGUGGAAGAAGUCAAAGCAAGGUAGUAAAAUGGAUUGGUGUCAGUCCGAGCGAUGGAAAGGGCAGAAAGUGGAAGAGAACAGAUCCCAAAGAGAACUUCAAAGAGGAACUUGCAAACUUUGGAAUCAGAGGAACACGCUUACGCCCAUCCCCCGUCCACAACUCCCUAGCAAAACCGAAGCCGACUUGAAGGUAACAGCUCUCACUGUUACACACACACACACACACACACAUACACACACACACACACACACACACACACAUACACACACACACACACACACACACAUACACACACACACACACACACACACACACACACAUACACACACACACACACACACACAUACACACACACACACACACAAGGAGAGACUGAGACAUAGGAUGCACUGUAUAUGUUAGGGAAGCUACAUUAAUUUCCUGUGUUUGCUAAACAUGUCAUAAGCUUCCUUUGGUAUUGUGCUGUUAGCUGUCCCUUGAUGACGUGUGUGUCUGUGUCUGUGUGUCUGUGUGUGUGUGUCUGUGGGAGGAGCAUUCAAUAGAUCAUGGUAAUGUAAAAGUAUAACUCACAAUUGUAUCAGGGUUGCUGGAUUUUUCUUAUUUCACCAGCAUAUUUCCCUAAGAUCCUCUGAAGCAGUCGCUUUCAAACUUUUCUUGCCCAGGGAUCCUGAUAUGAUAGCAAAAACGUUUUAAAAUCACUUAUUGUCUUAUCAUCAGGUGAAUGAUAAUGGCAAGUAGAAAUAAUCCACAUUUAAAAUGAAUUGAUAUUUGUAUACAGUUUCAUGGUUUCAUUAUUUUGCCCUCCCCACAGUUCAUUUGAAGAGGAGGUAUAAAACCCUAACAUAGUCUGUUAACUAGACAGGUCAAGAUUUCUUGGCACAUUUUUACAUUGAGCUAAGAGAAAAUAUUGGUUAGUUCUCAAAUAUGCUAUUAUUUAAAGAUAUAGUUGAAUACACUCAGCUACUGUUUUAUUAUUGUUUUAUUACUACUUAUUACUUAUUACCCUAGUUAUUAGUGUAUUAGGGCAGUCUCAUCUGUCAUGGUGCCUUCUUAUUCUGGGAUUUCACUGUGCCCCUGUGUGUGGAGACACCAAUCUGCAUGUUUGAUAUCAGUGGAUAUUAAAUCAUGUUUCACUAAUAUCCCAAACACCAAAUCACACUACAAAAUGAAUGAUGAUGGUUCCCCUAGUCCAGCUGUUUUGAGCUGAUGAGGCUGAAACCCAAUUUUAGACAAGGCUAGAGGGCUACACGAUGGGACUAACUAACCACUUUAGAGGGGGACAUAAACAGGAAAAUUAAGAUAUUUGGGGGGGGGGGGGGGGGGGGGGUUCAUACCAAG
rnacentral:lncRNA from 1 species